rnacentral:rRNA from 1 species
UACGAAGGGGGCUAGCGUUGCUCGGAAUCACUGGGCGUAAAGCGCACGUAGGCGGCUUCUUAAGUCGGAUGUGAAAUCCCCGGGCUCAACCUGGGAAUUGCAUUCGAUACUGGAUAGCUAGAGUUCGGCAGAGGGAAGCGGAAUUUCGGGUGUAGCGGUGAAAUGCGUAGAUAUCCGAAGGAACAUCAGUGGCGAAAGCGGCUUCCUGGACCAGAACUGACGAUCAGGCUCGAAAGCGUGGGGAGCAAACAGGA